UGUUUUGAAGUUCGUAGAUUAUUGAAGUAACUUGCGUUGUGAAACGAAAGUCUUUGGAUUGGUUUGUUAGUGGUUUAAAUGAUGGCUGUGGCGGAGCUGCAAGUGCGGUUGUUUACGAAACAAAGUCAGUAUGCAGUUCCAGACACGCCGUUUUCUGUUGCUUCCAAUGUAACGUGCGUCGAACUGAACGCAUUGGUCAACGAGCUGCUAAGAGAAAACAGGACGUCAGAGUGGCAUGAUGUAGAGUUCGAUUUCUUGCUAUCCGGAGAAUUCCUUCGUGUUUCACUUCUGGAACAUCUUGAAGAAAGAGUUAUAUCUAGUGAAGGCACAGUUGACAUAGAAUAUGUGGAACGCUUCCCAGCCCCAGAACCGAAGGACUGUCUUCUACACGACGACUGGGUUUCCGCUGUACAAAUUAAAAAUAAAUGGAUUCUCUCAGGUUGCUAUGACAACACUUUGCACAUAUGGACAAGCAAAGGAAAACACAAAUUAACAAUACCUGGGCACACAGGACCAGUAAAAGCUCUCUCAUGGAUUUCACUUGAUGACAAUCGAGCAUCAUUUGUCAGUGCAUCUCAAGAUCAGACUACUAUGAUAUGGGAAUGGAAUGUCUCAAACAAUUCUGUUGAAUGUAUUCACAUUUGUCGCGGACAUGAAAGGUCUGUGGAAUGCAUUGGAGUGAGCCCAAAUGCUGUUCUUUUAGCAACUGGAGGUUGGGAUGCAAUGCUGAAGAUUUGGUCAGCUUCACUGGAGGAGCAAACACAUACAGAUGGUGUUUCAUCCACUAAGAGGUUUAAAGGAGAACAUGGAAAAUCACAAAUUAGGACUCCUGUACUUACUUUAAAAGGCCAUAAAGAGUGCAUUUCUUCUGCCUUGUGGAUUGACUCCAGUGAAAUAUGCACUUCCUCUUGGGAUCACACAUUAAGAACAUGGGAUGCUGAACUUGGUGGCAUUAAAACUGAACUUGUUGGGAACAAGCCAUUUUUUGAUGCUGAUUGGUCCCCAUUGAACAGAACACUUGUAACAGCCUCAGCUGACAGGCAUGUGCGUUUAUAUGACCCGAGGUCAAAAGAGGGUUCCUUAAUCAAAAACACAUUUACCUCACACACACAAUGGGUGCAGAGUGUAUGUUGGUCUAAAACUGAUGAACACCUUUUUGUAUCUGGAAGCUAUGAUCAGGAUAUGAAGCUUUGGGACACAAGAAGUCCAAAGGCACCUUUGUAUGAUAUGAGUGGACAUGAAGACAAGGUGCUAUGCUGUGAUUGGUCAAGACCUGAUCUUGUGGUGUCAGGUGGUGCAGAUAACACUGUCCGUAUUUUUAAAACAAAACAUAUCAAGGUAGAAGAGAUGUAAUAAGUAACAGAUCUUAAAGUGCUAAUAAUGUGCAAAAGACAACACUACACAGUAGGUGUAUAACCAAGAUGAGCUACGGUCUAGCAGGAAUACCACGAAGAUAGUCAGACUACCCAGACACACAUACAUCAUGACAUGUAGUCUCAAGAAUUGGACCAACAAUCUCCAUGAAUGAACAUUCAAAGGACUUCCUUCCACCAAUGGAGGUUCCACGGAAUGUGAGCAAGAAACAUCACAAAGAAGAACAUGUUGUGCAAAAGCGGGAAGCUACUGCAGGGAAGAAGCAAGUUAUGAGAAAGCGGUGUAAGAAGUGCGCGGAACAAGGCAAGUGCACUGAUACACCAUACGAGUGUACAACCUACACAGACAAACCUGGAUACUGCUUGAACUGCUGUAUAAUUUCCCACAAGUGGCAAAAACUCGAUAAUAUCGGGGAAAUUCCAAUUAUCAAAGACAACUUCUUUUAUUUCUUUUGACAUUGCAAUGUUUCUUUUUAUGACGUGAAACGUUAGAACUUUUUUCACGAGUACUCAGAAAAUGAGGUUUUCUUUUGUGUUAAGUCGACUUAUUUCUUAUUGCGUUGUAAAACGUUCACUUCAGUUUUUUGGGCAUUGACAUAUUGUCUCAGUGAGUCUGCAGUUGGUAUUCAGUCAGUAUAGUCACUGUCUCAGCAAGUUCACACCUGCUAGUUAAAUAGUAUAGUCACUAAGUCAUUCAGAACCUUGCAGUUAGAAGGUAUAAAUGUAAGUGAGCUUGUGUUUGGACAUCCAGAGUGAAUAGUAAGUUCACAGUGAAAUUUAUAACUUGUGAAUCUGUUUCAAUGAUUAUUGUCCCUUGUCAGAAUUUGGAAUAGUCUCGAAGUUUGUGUAGCUUACUGACAUGCAAAGAUAGUGAUGUCCUACUGUAGUUUUUCAAAGUUGAUCAUCAAAGUUAACUGUAUGGUAAUAAGUGUGUAGAGAAAUGAAAACAAAUAUACUGUGCUAUGUACAUCAUUUAAUAACAGUUCACCACCAUCAGUAAACAUGGGAAGGAGAGUAAAGCAGACAUUCUACAAGAGUUAUGAACAGUGCUUACGGUCCAGGCCAGUAAGUUACAAUAUGGCCUAUCACAUACGCUACUCACUUCAGAAAUGUAAUUACAGCCACCAUCAACAUAAGCAAUGAGAAUGAUGAUGUAUUUUGUAUAUUUUAAACAGUAUAAUAGGUACAAUUUACAUUUGUUUGCUUUCUAAGAAAUUUAUUGUGCUUUACCUUUUUAAUGAAAAGAAACACUAUGCUUGUGCUUAUUCACUCUGUCUGUAUCUAAUUGUAAGCAUCUAAUAAAUUUAUCAUUUUUCUUGUG